rnacentral:rRNA from 1 species
UACAGAGGGUGCAAGCGUUAAUCGGAAUUACUGGGCGUAAAGCGUGCGUAGACGGUUGCGUAAGUCAGAUGUGAAAGCCCCGGGCUCAACCUGGGAAUUGCAUUUGAGACUGCGUAGCUAGGGUGCGGAAGAGGGAAGCGGAAUUUCCGGUGUAGCGGUGAAAUGCGUAGAUAUCAGGAAGAACACCAAUGGCGAAGGCAGCUCUCUGGGACGGUACUGACGCUGAGACGCGAAAGCGUGGGGAGCGAACAGG